AAAGCGGGCGCAGACGGUUACUUAAGCAGGAUGUGAAAUCCCCGGGCUCAACCUGGGAACUGCGUUNUGAACUGGGUGACUAGAGUGUGUCAGAGGGAGGUAGAAUUCCACGUGUAGCAGUGAAAUGCGUAGAGAUGUGGAGGAAUACCGAUGGCGAAGGCAGCCUCCUGGGAUAACACUGACGUUCAUGCCCGAAAGCGUGGGUAGCAAACAGGAUUAGAUACCCUGGUAGUCCACGCCCUAAACGAUGUCGAUUAGCUGUUGGGCAGCAUGACUGCUUAGUAGCGAAGCUAACGCGUGAAAUCGACCGCCUGGGGAGUACGGUCGCAAGAUUAAAACUCAAAGGAAUUGACGGGGACCCGCACAAGCGGUGGAUGAUGUGGAUUAAUUCGAUGCAACGCGAAGAACCUUACCUGGUCUUGACAUGUACGGAACCCUCCAGAGACGGAGGGGUGCCUUCGGGAGCCGUAACACAGGUGCUGCAUGGCUGUCGUCAGCUCGUGUCGUGAGAUGUUGGGUUAAGUCCCGCAACGAGCGCAACCCUUGUCAUUAGUUGCCAUCAUUAAGUUGGGCACUCUAAUGAGACUGCCGGUGACAAGCCGGAGGAAGGUGGGGAUGACGUCAAGUCCUCAUGGCCCUUAUGACCAGGGCUUCACACGUCAUACAAUGGUCGGUACAGAGGGUAGCCAAGCCGCGAGGUGGAGCCAAUCUCACAAAACCGAUCGUAGUCCGGAUUGCACUCUGCAACUCGAGUGCAUGAAGUCGGAAUCGCUAGUAAUCGCAGGUCAGCAUACUGCGGUGAAUACGUUCCCGGGUCUUGUACACACCGCCCGUCACACCAUGGGAGUGGGGGAUACCAGAAG
rnacentral:rRNA from 1 species